rnacentral:rRNA from 1 species
AUUGAACGCUGGCGGCAGGCCUAACACAUGCAAGUCGAGCGGGGUUUUCGGACCUAGCGGCGGACGGGUGAGUAAUGCGUAGGAAGCUGCCCAAUAGAGGGGGAUACCAGUUGGAAACGACUGUUAAUACCGCAUAAUGUCUACGGACCAAAGUGUGGGACCUUCGGGCCACAUGCUAUCGGAUGCGCCUACGUGGGAUU